GGCCGGGGCUGCGCGCGGGCCGGGGGCGGGGGCUGGGGCCGGGCCCGGGGCGGCGGGGCCGGCGCCUCCGCUCUCCUCCUGCUCCUGCAGCAGCCUCUGCUCCCACUGCGGCUGUGGCCCACCUCGGCGCAGCUCUCCGCCCUGCGCGCCCGCUGAGCCCGAGGUUCCCCGGCCCAUGUACUGGAAGCAUGAGAACGCCGCCCCGGCGCUGCCCGAGGGCUGCCGGCUGCCGGCCGAGGGCGGCCCCGCCACCGACCAGGUGAUGGCCCAGCCAGGGUCCGGCUGCAAAGCGACCACCCGCUGUCUUGAAGGGACCGCGCCGCCCGCCAUGGCUCAGUCUGACGCCGAGGCCCUGGCAGGAGCUCUGGACAAGGACGAGGGUCAGGCCUCCCCAUGUACGCCCAGCACUCCAUCUGUCUGCUCACCGCCCUCUGCCGCCUCCUCCGUGCCGUCUGCAGGCAAGAACAUCUGCUCCAGCUGCGGCCUCGAGAUCCUGGACCGGUAUCUGCUCAAGGUCAACAACCUCAUCUGGCACGUGCGGUGCCUCGAGUGCUCCGUGUGUCGCACGUCGCUGAGGCAGCAGAACAGCUGUUACAUCAAGAACAAGGAGAUCUUCUGCAAGAUGGACUACUUCAGCCGAUUCGGGACCAAGUGCGCCCGGUGCGGCCGACAGAUCUACGCCAGCGACUGGGUGCGGAGAGCUCGCGGCAACGCCUACCACCUGGCCUGCUUCGCCUGCUUCUCGUGCAAGCGCCAGCUGUCCACUGGUGAGGAGUUCGGCCUGGUCGAGGAGAAGGUGCUUUGCCGCAUCCACUACGACACCAUGAUUGAGAACCUCAAGAGGGCCGCCGAGAACGGGAACGGCCUCACGUUGGAGGGGGCAGUGCCCUCGGAACAGGACAGUCAACCCAAGCCGGCCAAGCGCGCGCGGACGUCCUUCACCGCAGAACAGCUGCAGGUUAUGCAGGCGCAGUUCGCGCAGGACAACAACCCCGACGCUCAGACGCUGCAGAAGCUGGCGGACAUGACGGGCCUCAGCCGGAGAGUCAUCCAGGUGUGGUUUCAAAACUGCCGGGCGCGUCAUAAAAAGCACACGCCGCAACACCCAGUGCCGCCCUCGGGGGCGCCCCCGUCCCGCCUUCCCUCCGCCCUGUCCGACGACAUCCACUACACCCCGUUCAGCAGCCCCGAGCGGGCGCGCAUGGUCACCCUGCACGGCUACAUUGAGAGUCAUCCUUUUUCAGUACUAACGCUGCCGGCACUUCCGCAUCUGCCCGUGGGCGCCCCACAGCUGCCCCUCAGCCGCUGAGAUCCAGUGUCCAAGCUGCGGCCAGGAAUCCACCCACCUCCGCAUCCACCCCCGUCCGCCAUCCUGCCCACCACCAGGUCGGUUCCCGAGGCCUGGCCUUUCCCUCUCCUGCUGAGAACCAGAACCCACCAGGAGCACCACAGAGUCCUCCUCUUGGAAGGCAGAACUCCCUGAAAUCUGGAAUCAGGGUGGAAACAGCCUGUUUUUCCCAUUUAAACAGGAGUCCUCUUCAACUUCAGCUGGUUACAAUAGCAAAAGGCGGAAUUGAAUUGUGCGACGUCAACGGCCUUCUCAUUUACAGGUUUUUUCCCCCACAUUGGCCUUUAUUUACUACUUCCUUGGAACCAUCUCUGAAUUCUGAAUAGCUGACAACCCCCAAUGUUAUCCACUCUGUUCCUUUUGUCUGGAAAACUCUACAGUGUUUGUGGGAUGUCCCCAAAGGAAAGCUAUGUUCUAAUUUUAUCAUUUCCAUCUGUCUGGUUAUGUCAAGUUAAUUCAGAAAGAGAAGAGACAGUGACCAACCCUGAGAGGCCUAAUAGGGCAGAGAUGGAGGCCUGCCCAGACUAGGAGGCAGAGGGGAUAGACAGGGAAUGGGGAGAAGAAAGACCCCCAUUGGUUUGGAAAUCAAGGAGAGGGCGGUGACAUAUUGGACCAGAAGAGGCACUAGCCAUUUUAAGGAGAGGAAAGAGAAAACUUUGGGGUCAGGGAGAGACCCUACCCCCACCUAAUUAUCCAGCGUAUAUGUAGGAAACAUAGCAGCGAUGGUAUUCGAUCUGUGCCAUGACUCUUCUGAAUGUUUGGACAGGUUAGAGUUGGGGACCCCUGUUGGCCACUUGUUGACCUCUCAUAGUGGUGCUUGGGCCAGGUCUUCUCGAUGGAAGGGGGAUCCCUUAUAGGGGAGAGGGAACAGAGCCCAGUGAAAUGGCAGUCAGAAUGUUAACCCUGGAUCCAUCUCUAAGUAGAGAGAGGGUGCCCAUUGCCUAGGUGAGUGUGCCAAGCUCAGGAUUCCAACUGGCGCCUCUGAGCUUCCCCAUCAAUACUUCCUGGAGCCAGCCCCACCCACACCUGAGAACAGAGGCCAGACACAGCUGUGUAACAUCCAUCCUGCUACAACUCUUCCACCCCAAACAAAAGGGCUCAGGCUACACACGAUCAUGAUUUAUGUUUUCAGGGGAUGCCCAUUUGUCCCAAGCUUAUCCUGUAAUUCUAGAACUACCUGGUGUCCUGAUGCAUUUUCCACUAGAGGUUGCUAAUCAGCAUGUUUUAGCCCAAGUCCGCCUUCCUGCUGUGGUUAACUUGUUAUGUUGCUUUUGGAAGGAGACUCUAAGACAGGGAAAGCAAGUUCAUGGUACAUAUGCAGCCAUUGUCUCUGUUUUUACCCAUGGCAGACAUUGCUAAUCAAUGGCAGCUCUAUUUCACUGAGUCUGGAUAAGGUUUCAGAGUUCAAAUGCUUGACGCUGGCACUUAAAAUGAAAGCCUAUAGGUCAUUCUGGCUCUGGGAUCUACAGGCGGGGUAGGCACAGGUGCAGCCUAAGAAGGGAACCUGCUUCCUCUCCCUUCCAAAGACAGUGACAGCUGACUGAGGGCAAAGAGCAGGCACCACUCAGAACGUGGUGAGUACAGCUCAGCUCAGCACUCAGCCAGUGGUAACUUGUGCCCAGCCCUGUGCUAGGUGCUGACAUUAACAGGAGCAACCAGGGCCCAAUCCCUGGCCUUGGGGAGCUCAAAUCUUUCCUUUGAUUUUUGCUCCUGAUCAUCAAGGCCCCAGUGGCAACCAUGUGGUAAGUGGCCAACCAAGCCCUGCCCAGGGUCACCCAAUACACUCCGCCUUGAGCCUCUCCUCAGGGUCUAUUCCUUGCGUGGAUUAUGUGGCCGUAGCAUGUGACAGUUCAAACAUGUCUCCACUACCCUGUUAAGAGCAGCCUGGGAACGUACAGGCCAUCAAGACUAUUUAUUUAAAUACAAAAAAAAGGGGAAAACACACACACGGAAAAAAAAUUGUAAGCACUUUUUUUGUAAAACCAAUGUCUGUUUUGUUACAUACCUUUCAUGUCGUGCUUUGUAAAUGUCUUAUUUGUGUAAUAAAGUUAAUGCAAGUAGAAGUGCUGGCACUGAAAUCCAGAACAUGAUGGGAUUCCAUUUCUUUCCUGCUCUCUGGUGAAGGGCUUAGGUCCCUGGCUCCCAGAAUAUGUGGGCUGCUGGACAGUGUAAUCCUCCUUCCUGGGAAACGGGUACCAUUUCCCAGUUAGUAAACAAUGGAUUGUGGAGGCCUGAUGAUGGGUUUCUUCUGUAAGUACUCAGUCACACCUGCUUCUUAUCUAAGCUUUGGAGGAAAUCAGGCUGCUUGAUGCCCUCUGUUCCAGUCUCUGAACAUACACUCUCUGCUGGGCCCUGUGCUGGCUCUGCACACUCAGAAAAGGCUCCCAGCCAGACCCUGCCCUGGAGGAGCUCUCAGUCUGGCAAAUACCGUGGGAGCCAAGGGGGUGGGUAUUAGAGCUGGAUCCUAUCAGAUGAGAGGGCCACAGGAUAGGUAAGCAAGGGGGUGGGGCAGGGAGGGAGGUGCAGAGGAGCCUGUUUGGAAGAUGGGGAAGAAUUUAAUAAGGUGAAGUUAAGGGAAUAUGGAACGGGCAGCAGGGCCCCAGGUUCUGCACAAGACUGGGUCUUAUAGUGGUUUUGUCAGGCUCCAGAGCCACCUCAUAACCUGAGGAGUGAGAGAGAGCAUCUUUUUGGUGGUCGUCAAAUUUCUUUCCACAGCAGAAUCGUUUGCUCAAGCCAAAGCUCCUGGUGUGGAGAGCAGAGCUGCCCUGCAGAAUGCAGAGGCUUCCCUGGCCUGCUGUGGCCCUGCACAGAAAUGAGUUGCUCAGAAACCUCAGCUCAUGGUGCACAUGAGUCACUGACUGCAGGGCCCCUCUCUUUAUUCUAUUAGUUUUUAAAUCUCCCAUCCCUGAUUCCAUUUCUGCUCCUCAUGCAUCUGCUCUUCCGAUCCAUUUUCAAGUGUUUAGAUAUAUGUGUAUCUUUGAAAAUAUAUGAGUUUAGUUGUGUGUUUCUUUACAUGAAUGUACCUUCUGUUUUCAAAAUACAGUUUGGAAACCACCGGUGGAGCGCAACCCUAUCUACCAAGGUGACUGGCGUCUUGGGGAGAGGUGAUCCUCCCAAGUCUGCUCCCUGGCACAGCUGAGAGUGAGCCCAGGCCUCCCUUCCCGCUGGCUCCUGGCUCUGCCCCAGCAUGACGCCUCUGGGUCCCUAGUUUGAGAUCCAAUUUCCUCUCCUGCCUUCCAAGCCUGACUCACUGUUCUGCCUCCACUGGGCAGCCCUGGCUUUCAGCAGCCUGAAGCCAUGGUUUUUAGUUUCUGUCUCUAGUGAUAAGCAGAAAAGAGGGAUGAGGAAGCGGCUUCACUGGCCCAACCAGAAACAGAAACUAAGAACCCAUGACUGCUGCAGGACUGGGCACAGUGAUCAGGUCCUACUGCCCUCUGAGACCAAGCAAGUCACUCUGUCUCUCUGAACCUCAGAUUCCCCAUCCGCAAAAGCCUUCCCCUUGCAAGGCUGUUGUGAGGAGCGGAGAUAAUGCACACGCACUACCUGCGCCGAUGGAGUCUCGCUCUGUCACCCAGGUUGGAGUGCAGUGGCUCGAUCUUGGCUCACUGCAACCUCCAUUUCCCAGGUUCAAGUGAUUCUCCUGUCUCAGCCUCCCAAGUAGCUGAGAUUACAGGCACCCGCCACCACACCUGGCUAAUUUGUGUAUUUUUAGUAGAGACAGGGUUCCACCAUGUUGGCCAAGCUGGUCUUGAACUCCUGACCUCAAGUGAUCCGCCCACCUCAGCCUCCCAAAGUGCUAGGAUUACAGGUUUGAGCCACUGCAUCCAGGUACAUAUCUUUAAAUGCUAGAAUCAUCCUCUGUGGCAAGGUGCUCCCAGGACAGGAGGCACACAGGGACAGAGAUGACUGAUGCGGUGUCCUCACAUUCGCUGCAGAACGCAUGUGUGCUGAAUGGAGAGGGGAUGCAAAAUCACCAACACUGUUGAUGUUGCUGUUCCUCCUGCUUCCUGGUGCCCCCUUUUCUUUUUGAGCACUUAUAAUUGAAUCCAUGUUCACUAAACAUGUUCAUGACGCCUAGCUGCUGUCCUAAGGCAGUUCAGAGGAACCAAGUGCCAUGGCCAAGGUCACUCUAUUGGCCUGACCCCACAGCCUCUGCUUUGACCCUCUGCUCCUUUUGGCCCCUAAUCCCCGGCUGCAUGUGGACGAUGGACUGAAGGGGCCCUGGCAGUCGGGAGCCUGUUGUCCAGUCAGCAAAUGUUGAGGGCUGAAUUAAGACUAGAGCAGUGGCAACAGUCAGCAGGGGUGUUAGGGAGGAAUCUGCAGAAGUCUGUGACAGACCAGAACUCACUGAAUCGUCACAGCAGUCGUGGAAAGACAAUGUCGUUACCUCUUUUGCAGGGGAGGCUACUGAGGCUCAGAGGUGAAGGUGUCUGCCUGAGCUCACCCAGCUCAUGUGAGUGGGUGCAGAGUGAUAGCCAAGUCUGUCUUCAGAGCUGCAGCCUUGACCACUACCCACUUCCCUGAGGAACUUUUCUGCAACUCCCGUCUUUAUUCCUCACCGUCUGAAGGACUGAAGCUAAACUCCCUAACCUGCUAUUCAAGGCUCUCUCCAGCCCACACUGGGUCCCUCCCUCUGCCUUGAAUGCCCCGCUGAGACCUACUCCUCCAUACUCAUCAAAGUCCAGUCUGAGGCCUCCUUGACACCUUCCCCAUUCCCCAACACACAAGCCUUCUCAGUUGCUCCAUCUGGAGCACCCUGUACCCAUGCAUCUCUCUGGACCUUUGCCCAUAUUGCUCCUUCCCUUCCAUGCAGCAGAAUCCAUCUCUCAUCCUUGUAGACCUAGCCAAACUCCACCUUUUCCAGGACAUCAUCUGGACGGCUUGGGACACACUGAUGCUCUUCUCUGUGUGUGUAGCACACUGUGAAUGUAGCUCCUGGCACCACUGAAAUAGGGAUACUCCCAGUUUUCUGGAAAGAAUCUCAUAUUUGAUAUUU